GGGAGGCCAAGCUGGAGGUCAGAGCCCAGGGUGCCUGGUGCCACUGGUACAUUCUUCCUGGACGCUCUUGAGGCAGCAGAGACCAAGCCUUGCCUAUUUGCCGUCUUAGCUGUCCUCACCUCUUGCCUGCUUUCUCCAGGACCUGCCUCCACACCAGAGUUAUGCACAUUGAGAGAAGAAAGCGGCUUUAGAGAUCAUCUUUACCAAAACAACAGAGAAGCAAUGUCCAGCUGUUUUGUUUCAGACGUGCAGGUUGAUAACCAAGCAGAAAAAGUGACUUGAAGGCAAGGAAUUUAAGACUGACCCUUCCAGACCAUUCCCUGCCCCUGCACCAUCCUCCAGGCUGCCAGUGUCCACACUCUGUGCCUUGGCUUCUCCUGGACCCUCUGCCAGUGGUGCCCUCUCCGUCAUCUGUCUACAAUGGUUUGUUCCUGAAAUGCCUUCACUCUCUACAUUUGAUGCUGAUGUUAAAUGCCACCUCUUUCAUGAAGCCUUCUCUGAUUGCCCCAGUUGCAUAAGUAGGUUCUCCACCUACCACCCCCGGUUCUUAUCAUCCUGGGUCCGAGAUGAAAACACACCAGAUGGGAUGAACAGCAUGUUGGUGACUAUAAAACAGAAAAUGAGUGAAUUCAAGGACACAGCAACAGACACAUAAAAUCAAAGCCAGAAUGAAACCCAAAGAGACGAAAAGAGAAAAAUCAAAAGAGCCUGGGGAGUCAGUGAUCCGUGGGAUAACUUCAGGUAGUCUUUAAGGAGUCACAGGAAAAAGAGGGUACCUAGAGUAAUAUUAAAGAA